rnacentral:lncRNA from 1 species
AACUUUUUCUAAAUCCGAGCACUGAUUUGGGCAUGGAGACGAUCCCAAUCAGUAUCUUGGCGUGGCAACCCGGUGUGGCUGUGAAUGCUAAAAGUGUCUACCAUGGCAUUAUGCUACCUGUGAUUGAGAUUCUUCUCUCACACACGCAACCGAUGUUUUGCAGCCAUGGCAUGGUUGGCUUCUCUUUUGCCUUAUCAUCACUCAUAUCUGAG